rnacentral:sRNA from 1 species
GCGAUGAGCUAUUUGCGUAAGCCGAAAACCGAGCGUUCGCUAAACGUAUGAAUGUGGUCAUACGGGUUAUUCGCCGCAAAACUUUUUUUGAAAGACGCCUACGGAUUUAGGCGUCUUUU